CUACGUGCCAGCAGCCGCGGUAAUACGGAAGGUCCGGGCGUUAUCCGGAUUUAUUGGGUUUAAAGGGAGUGUAGGCGGUCUGUUAAGCGUGUUGUGAAAUUUAGGUGCUCAACAUUUAACUUGCAGCGCGAACUGUCAGACUUGAGUACACGCAGCGCAGGCGGAAUUCAUGGUGUAGCGGUGAAAUGCUUAGAUAUCAUGAGGAACUCCGAUCGCGAAGGCAGCCUGCGGGAGUGUUACUGACGCUUAAGCUCGAAGGUGCGGGUAUCGAACAGGAUUAGAUACCCUGGUAGUCCGCACUGUAAACGAUGGAUGCCCGCCGUUGGCGCCCUGCGCCUGCGGCCAAGCGAAAGCAUUAAGCAUCCCACCUGGGGAGUACGCCGGCAACGGUGAAACUCAAAGGAAUUGACGGGGGCCCGCACAAGCGGAGGAACAUGUGGUUUAAUUCGAUGAUACGCGAGGAACCUUACCCGGGCUUGAA
rnacentral:rRNA from 1 species